rnacentral:rRNA from 1 species
AUUGAACGCUGGCGGCAUGCCUUACACAUGCAAGUCGAACGGUAACAGGUCUUCGGAUGCUGACGAGUGGCGAACGGGUGAGUAAUACAUCGGAACGUGCCCGAUCGUGGGGGAUAACGAAGCGAAAGCUUUGCUAAUACCGCAUACGAUCUACGGAUGAAAGCAGGGGACUGCAAGGCCUUGCGCGAACGGAGCGGCCGAAGGCAGAUUAGGUAGUUGGUGGGAUAAAAGCUUACCAAGCCGACGAUCUGUAGCUGGUCUGAGAGGACGACCAGCCACACUGGGACUGAGACACGGCCCAGACUCCUACGGGAGGCAGCAGUGGGGAAUUUUGGACAAUGGGCGAAAGCCUGAUCCAGCCAUGCCGCGUGCAGGAUGAAGGCCUUCGGGUUGUAAACUGCUUUUGUACGGAACGAAAAGACUCUGGUUAAUACCUGGGGUCCAUGACGGUACCGUAAGAAUAAGCACCGGCUAACUACGUGCCAGCCGCCGCGGUAAUAC